rnacentral:lncRNA from 1 species
CCUCAGAGAUGAUUCUACUCCGCCCUCUCCUCCUUCCCAGACCCCAGUGCUAGAAUAAGGAACGGUAACCACACCGGCCUGUGCCGCAGGGUUAAAUGUGUGGGUGUUGUGCAUAUUCUCUUGGGGGUCGUCACUGAGGAGCGCUGUCUGUCAUUCAGAGGUUGCACUUCCACAUGAUCAUGGUGCUUGGCGCCGUGUGACUGUGUGCAGAUUAAGAAGCACCUUAGUGCGCUGCAGUGUUUCACAGACGUGUGCCAGCACAUGGCACUAACAUAUGUUCUGUUUUCCUCCUCCCCAGGCCAAUCUAGACGAAAGCCAGAUGAGUUCGCCCACAUUCCUUAGAGCUUUAAUGACGGCCGUUUGCAAAGCAGCCAUUGUCG